rnacentral:rRNA from 1 species
UACGUAGGGGGCAAGCGUUGUCCGGAUUUAUUGGGCGUAAAGAGCGUGUAGGCGGCCAGAUAGGUCCGUUGUGAAAACUGGAGGCUUAACCUCCAGCUGUCGAUGGAAACCAUCUGGCUAGAGUCCGGAAGAGGAGAGUGGAAUUCCUGGUGUAGCGGUGAAAUGCGCAGAUAUCAGGAAGAACACCAACGGCGAAGGCAGCUCGCUGGGACGGUACUGACGCUGAGACGCGAAAGCGUGGGGAGCGAACAGG